rnacentral:rRNA from 1 species
UACGGAGGGUGCGAGCGUUAAUCGGAAUUACUGGGCGUAAAGCGCAUGCAGGUGGUUUGUUAAGUCAGAUGUGAAAGCCCGGGGCUCAACCUCGGAGUUGCAUUUGAAACUGGCAGGCUAGAGUACUGUAGAGGGGGGUAGAAUUUCAGGUGUAGCGGUGAAAUGCGUAGAGAUCUGAAGGAAUACCAGUGGCGAAGGCGGCCCCCUGGACAGAUACUGACACUCAGAUGCGAAAGCGUGGGGAGCAAACAGG